rnacentral:rRNA from 1 species
UACAGAGGUCUCAAGCGUUGUUCGGAUUCAUUGGGCGUAAAGGGUGCGUAGGCGGCGGAGUAAGUUGGGUGUGAAAUCCCGGGGCUCAACCUCGGAAUUGCAUUCAAUACUGCUUCGCUCGAGUACUGGAGAGGAGGCUGGAAUUUACGGUGUAGCAGUGAAAUGCGUAGAUAUCGUAAGGAAGACCAGUGGCGAAGGCGAAUCUCUGGACAGUUACUGACACUGAGGCACGAAGGCCAGGGGAGCAAACGGG